UGCCUAAUACAUGCAAGUCGAACGCUUCUUUUCCCACCGGAGCUUGCUCCACCGGGAAAAGAGGAGUGGCGAACGGGUGAGUAACACGUGGGUAACCUGCCCAUCAGAAGGGGAUAACACUUGGAAACAGGUGCUAAUACCGUAUAACAAUCGAAACCGCAUGGUUUCGUUUUGAAAGGCGCUUUACGGUGCCGCUGAUGGAUGGACCCGCGGUGCAUUAGCUAGUUGGUGAGGUAACGGCUCACCAAGGCCACGAUGCAUAGCCGACCUGAGAGGGUGAUCGGCCACAUUGGGACUGAGACACGGCCCAAACUCCUACGGGAGGCAGCAGUAGGGAAUCUUCGGCAAUGGACGAAAGUCUGACCGAGCAACGCCGCGUGAGUGAAGAAGGUUUUCGGAUCGUAAAACUCUGUUGUUAGAGAAGAACAAGGGUGAGAGUAACUGUUCACCCCUUGACGGUAUCUAACCAGAAAGCCACGGCUAACUACGUGCCAGCCGCCGCGGUAAUUCGUCGUGAC
rnacentral:rRNA from 1 species